UUUGGGAUUUUUAUUUUCAUGAAAACAUUAUGUAUUACAUAUACAGACAAUCCAUAAUUCGUUGCAGGGUACAUGUCCACCCUUUCUCUAUGAUCGAAUCAUGUAAAACCUUGUAUAUUUGGUUUAGAUUAACAGGUUUGUUUCGCUGUCCAUUGUAGACACUCGCCCACAUGUCGUACAUGAUUCAUGAUUUGGUCCAUUUUCAAAACACGCUCUACAUUAGUCCCGGAAUUGUUGGUUGUGUAGAACGAGACAUUGUUCACUUUAUUUUCAAUAAUUUGAUGCAUAACACUUGUAAGUUCUCUCAAAAGAAAAAAUGUAUUUAUUCUCUCUAACAUUGUAUACACAUUGCUCAACAUCUAAAUAACAAAAAUGUCACUCGGGCUCUUGGGGUUUAUUGAGCCAGAAAGUCAUCACAUCAGACACCACAGCCUCCCGGUAUUUGUUAUCCUCCACCAGGGUGUGUCAGAUUUCUUUGAGUUUCUCGUGUAUGUGAAUCGCCUCCUUCAGCUCGUGUAGGAAUGCCUCGGUUACCCCGUAAACUCUGGGGAUAGACGGCACAAGGCCCAUAGCCUCCAGGGUUCUGACCAGCGAUGGUAUAAACCGGCAGGACCAAAGUCUUUUCACCAGCGCCUCAAAAUUGUUGAAGAAGUAGUAUCUUGGGGGGUCGUAUAGGCAUGGAUGCCUGCGCUGGCUGGGGUGAUUAAUCUCACAACCGAUGCAUUUUUCGUGUAUAUAUUCUCCAAUCACCACGUCUAAAAGCGUGGCUACUGAGGCCUUGAUUUGUGUCCACAAAAAUAGUACUGACCACCCCAUCAAACACGUCCUCAGGUUGUGUACAUGUAGGGGGUGUCGAGGGUCUUGCCAGGGGGGAGUAGAAUGUAGGGCUGCGAGGCAUACAGUCCUUAGUGUCGGGAGACCAGGCCGUUUCGGCGUUCGGGUAUGCGUUAGGAAUAUCCAUGGUCAAUGCGUAGGUUAAGAACUGUAGGUUUUAAGAACCCUCCUUUUAUUGUUGAACCAGCCCUCGGGGUAUCUGGGCGGGGUUAACAACGCCGCUUACCUCGGUUUCUUUGGGGGGGGGGGGGCUGCCUCUCCUGACGUUGUACCUUCUUGGGGCUGCUUUGAGUCGUAAUCCUCCGGAUUCGUAUAUAUUAUGCACUUCUUUAGCCGAACAAUGCUCUGGCGCUUUUGGCUCUGUACAAACAGAGCGUCCAAUAUCUCCAACAUUUUCAAUUCCAUUAAAGGCCAGCUUUUAAAGGGUAUAAGCAUUCGAAGCCGGAAAUCCCCGUCCGAACCGCCAUCCCUGAUGUUCUGGUUUCGGAUUUCCGCUGUGCUGACGUAGAACUACACGCAGCCGCAGGGAAGACCAUUCUUUCUCUGUAUUUUCACCCAGUGAAAUACUCUUCCUGAGGUGUCCGGGGUACCUUCCCAACGGGUCUCGUAGCCUGUGAACAAGCUGUAACCCUUGGUGAUACGGCUCAGUUCGGGACACAAAACCUGUCGAAAAACCGUCCAGUUUUCAACCCCAUAAGCCACGCAUCAUUUCAGAUGCAUCAGCCAGAUCCAGGAAGAACACUGCAGAGUUCGAUAUAAAUCAAGCACGCUCACAUGAAGUGGAUGUUAGUCUGGAUGUGGACACAGCUCACCCUAAGCUGAAGAUAAAUGGGAAAUCACUACAGUGGAUAGAUGAAUCACAGCAGAGAAACAUUAACAUUGAGAACUGUUUUGAUGAAGAGCCUUUUGUGUUGGGCAAUAUGGGCCGUGCAUGGAAGAGUUAGGAGGUGAAUGUGAAGAAGGAUGACUGGGUGCUGGGUGCUUGGCGUUGCCAAGGCAACGGCUCACAGGAAGGAGCCGCUGGUUUUAAGACCAACAGGUGGCUUCUGGGUAAUCAGACUUUCCAAUGGGCAAAGACUUAAAGCAAUGGAGGAUGAAGAACACGUUCUUGAGAAAGGUAUUCCAGAUAGAGUUGGUAUCUAUCUGGAUUAUCAGGGAAAGAAGGUGACUUUCUUUAAUGCAGAUGACGGUUCACUCAUCUACUCAUUUAUUGAUGGACCAAGUUAUCAGGAUGAUGUCCUGCCACUUUUCUCACCCUGGAACAAUGAUGCAAAACCAAUCGCAAUUUUGUCCAUCACAGCAACAUAGAAAAACAUAAUUGAUCAUAUUCCCUGUCUGUCAAUAGCUUAUCAUGGUAUGAAGCUAUGUUAAUAUUUUUGACUAAGUAAUAUCCAGAAUUGUGGCUAAAUUUGUAUGAUCCUUUGCUGUCAUCUAACCAUCUAAUGUUGUGUUCCAUUAUUUGUAGUAAUAUAUUAUUCAUUCAUUAUUUCAAUACAUUUUUGUGUAUGAAAUUAAACAAUAAUUUUGUUUUAAAAUAUUAAAUGUUGAGUUGUGAAAAAUACAAGAUCUUAUUUGGUAUCUGGAUGUAGAUCUAUUGAUGACUAGGAUUGAGAAAAACAACGACCUUCUAUUGGCUUGUUUGUAGUUGUUUUGACAAGUUUGGUAAUCAUCCAUCACGUAAAACUUUGAUAAUAUUUACAAUGACCAAGUAUGAGAGCUGGAUUGCCAGAGUUUUGACUCAAUAUAUUGACCCUGUAAAGCCUGAAGUUAGUUGUUCAGUGUAACAUCUAUUUUGACCGUCUUUUCUUUACAGACAUUUCUAGCAUGCUAGUUCAAUCAGUGUGUGAGAUAAAGUGAUUCUAUGAUUUGUUUUUAAAAGAACUAUGACUGUAUGAUAUGAACAUGAAAAAACACCAAUAUGACAAAUGAGUUUGACAAAACUGAACACAUUAGUCUGUCUAUACAUCUUUGUAACAAGGGAUAUUUACUAACUUUACAAUAUUGAGUAUAUAUAGAAUCAAUAUAGAGAUUUUAGUAGAUUUUUACAGUUACAGACAAAAAAAGGCAAAACAUUCCAUCUCACAUCGCUCAGGAUCAUUUUCUGUGAAAUAAAACAAGUAAAAGAUUGAAGUAACUCAAUCUUCACAGUUGAUAAUUACUAAAGCUAAAUAAAUACUCAAACAAUGGAAGAUAAUCCGCCUUGCACUCUACCCAUCAGUUAUUUUCCCCAUGGUUAAAUAAAACCACAGAGUUUUGUGUUUUUUAGAGUACUAAAAAAACCACAGAGUUUGGGGUUAUUAGAGUACUAAUAAAACCACUGAGUUUGGGGUUAUUAGAGUACUAAUAAAACCACAGAGCUUGGGGGUAUUAGAGUACUAAUAAAAACACAGAGAGUUGUGCGUUAUUAGACUACUGUCACGCCCUGGACUUAGUAUUCUGUGUUUUCGUUAUUAUUUUGGUUAGGCCAGGGUGUGACAUGGGGAUUUAUGUGGUUUGUUUUGUCUGGGGUUGUUUGUGGUUAUGGGAUUGUGGUUAGAGUAGUACUCUAGUUAAGUCUAUGGUUGCCUAGAGUGGUUCUCAAUCAGAGGCAGGUGUUUAUUGUUGUCUCUGAUUGGGAACCAUAUUUAGGCAGCCAUAAUGUUUAGGUCUCUUGUGAGUGAUUGUUCCUGUCUUUGUGUUUGUGGCACCAGA